rnacentral:rRNA from 1 species
UAGUCCACGCCGUAAACGAUGGAUACUAGCUUUUUUGGAGUAUCGACCCUCUGAGAAGCGAAGCUAACGCGUUAAGUAUCCCGCCUGGGGAGUACGGCCGCAAGGCUAAAACUCAAAGGAAUUGACGGGGACCCGCACAAGCGGUGGAACAUGUGGUUUAAUUCGAUAGUAAGCGAAAAACCUCACCAAGGUUUGACAUACCAAUCGUAUUCCUAAGAAACUAGGAAGUCAGUUAGGCUGGAUUGGAUACAGGUGUUGCAUGGCCGUCGUCAGCUCGUGUCGUGAGAUGUCGGGUUAAGUCCUUUAACGAGCGCAACCCUCAUUGCAUGUUAUUUUUUCAUGCGAGACCGCCCUGGUUAACGGGGAGGAAGGUGGGGAUGACGUCAGGUCAGCAUGGCCCUUACACCUUGGGCUACACACGUGUUACAAUGGCUGGUACAACGAGUCGCGAAAUCGCAAGAUGGAGCUAAUCUCUUAAAACCAGUCCCAGUUCGGAUAGUGGGCUGCAAUUCGCCCACUUGAAGUUGAA